CUUGGCCAAGUCUGAAGCAAGUUGGGAGUAAAGAAGAAGGAAGGAAGAUCCUGUGUAAACUCUGGAGAAGGGGCUUGUGUAAAGCGGUCAUGGAGACUUGAAAGCUUGGAAGGCUUGGACUGAGUGGAAGGGACACCCGUUUUAAGGCUUCAUGGCACUCGAGUGGCUGCUUCAAGAAGAUGGUUUGAAUGGAGCCUUCGGGAAAUCGUAAUGACUGACACCAGCCUAAACGAGCUGAAGAACCACAAGAAACAGCCUCUCUCUAGGAGAGUACUGAAUGACAUCAGUGUGUGUGUGUGUGUGUGUUUACACAUAGUCUUCACUGCUUUGAAAGUUUUUCUCUGUGCCGGGGUGGGGUGGGAUAGGGAAGAUGGGGGGCCUGGGGGUAAGAGUUGGGGGGGGGGGAAUCCCUAGUGCUCUCUG
rnacentral:lncRNA from 1 species